CAGUAUUAAACUUUGCUCUAUCGACACCACCACUGAUUCCGUUCCUCGGGCACUCUCCUCUGGUUCAAGUUGAAGUUGUUAGUCAGUUCCCUGCAUGGCGACGACCUGGAUGGAGGUCCACUCUUCUCCUCACUCAAAAAUUAACAAUUGUCACAAUCUACGCAAUUACAAGCAUCAAAGUUUUUUCAACUAAAACCUCCGAAGGCUACGACUACUGAAGAGAAUAAGGUAUCCAUAAGUCCAAGUUUGCCAUCGUUGCACUUGGGGUUAUGCGCUGUUGUUCAAUUUCCCUUUAGCUGGUGGUCACUCUACUGCUGUCUGAAUUAUUGUGCAAGAGUGAUUGCUGAUGUGGAGAAAGUCUCGAGAGGAAAGUAUGGUCGGAAUCAUCUUUCAAUGGAACUAACAAUAAGUACAUACAUAUUUUUCGACCAAAGAAAAAAUCGUGCAACUCGGACUGGCAGCAUUUUUGAGACGGAAUUGGAACCACCACCGGGAGAGGCUGGAAACUCUGGAGAAAGCAGAUGUGGGAAGUGAUGGGUCAUCUUACCAGGCAGCAUUAGAGUCUAUUUAAUAAUCUAAUACUGUCAGGUAAAAGAUGGUCUUUCAUGAAAAAUCAACUGUAAUAAAGGAGCAAUCAGCACGGACAAAAGUCGAAAGGAGCUGAAGAGAGAGAGAGAAAGCCAAGAAUUGCAAAUUUCGCAACACGCCCCCGUCCUUCUCUGCAGCCCGACACUUGUGCUCAAAAUAACAAGACGUGCUACAUGCACACACGACUUUGAGAAAAUUAAAUCAAAUUGAUGCUGCACUUUCGUCUCAGAAUGAGAAGAGGAUUCUACAAGGAAUAAAAGGUUCCACACUUUGAUUAAAGAUUUCUGCAAUGGACGUCGGUCUGGACUGCAGUGCUAUUCACUUUGAAACAUUUAUGUGCAACAACUGUUUAAUUCCUAAAUUAACGCAGCAGCAGCAGGAGGAGCAGGAGUAGUGUAGGUAGAGGAGUUGGAAGGUUGUUGAGUGUAUGAAACCGGUAUCAAGAUUUAAUUAUCUCAUAACAGAAAUGUUUGAUUUACGGUGCGGUUUCAUUCAGGCAGUCCCUUUUUAUAAGCAAUAAUAAGAGUAAGCAAACCAUAUCAAGCAGGUAUCCACCUAUUCUACCCAACUGAACUGCCAGGGUAGAUAUUAUGGUAUCAUUCCAGUCUAGUUACAUGCUUCUGGUGCAGAAAUCUGUGACGAAAGGAGCUCAACUUUGAAUUAUUUGCCGGAAACAGGAUUGCCGAUGAAUUCCUGAUAGCAAUUUCUAGAUCUCAAUCUCAUUCUCUGUGCUUGUAAUAAUUUAUAAUACGUUGCUCCUUCAUUGUUAAUUUCCAAUUGUACUUUUCAGCUGAGUGAAUAGCAGACGAAACCUACAUUACAUGCACACAUGUACAAACCGAAAAACGGAGUAUUUAGUAUAGUCGUCUAUUAUGUAUGUAUGUGUGUACAGUAUGUAUAUACAUAUGCACAGUCUACAGUAAGUAAUGAGUAGCAAUAUACAUAUGUACAUAUUAUGCCUCACCUCGCCAUAUUGUUGUAUGCUUUUCCUGAUUUUUCCGUUCGUCAACUAGCUAUUCUUUCCCAUCUAUCUAUAUCGUGUGGAGUUUGGAGAUAGAACAAAUAUACAACACAACAGCAAUUAGAGAGAAUUCACUCUUGGAGGAAUUCUAGUUAUUUUUGGACGCAUGAUUCCAUCCAUUGAGAAACUUAUACGGGUGUUCGUUUAUUUUCGUCGUAGGCUCCGCUGAUUUUCAAUCUUACUACUAUUUGUUGUACUUUCAUCUAUUCGCGUAGAUUUCCCAGCAGUACACAGACUCACACAUCACCACAGCGGAGCAAACAAAGUUAAGCCGUAUCCGAUCCAUGUGGUUAUAUUAUAUUUUGUGUGAUCGGAAUCACCAAGAAGCCGAGAUAAGGAGAGGCUGAGAAGCAGAGUGAGAGCGACGACCAACUAUGCAAGUUGCAGAGCGCUUAGAAGCAGCGUAAUCUUUGUUCUCUCAUGCUUCCAAGAUGAGACGACGACGACUCUUUGCCUUUGCAGCAGCGGUGUUGGAGAAGCAAUGAGAUACUGUAGAUACAUAUGUACAUAUGAUACAUGGAUGCAGAGAGUGGUGGAGAUUUGGUAUUAUUAUAUCGAAUUGAGUUGACUUCUUGUAGGAGAUAAACUGAUGACCUGUGAUGAUGUGAUGUUCGAAUGGAAGGGGAGGAAACAAACCAACCGUUUCAUGAAACUGGGACAGGUUGUGUAUGAAAUAUUAUUGGAAGUGGGUGAUAAGCAUCUCAAAUAAAUAAAUUUUCAAUUCAAGACGCACUUCUGACUUUACUGGAGCAAUAUUGAUGAGAUCAAGGGGCAUCUGAGAGAACGAUACAUAUGUGAAGUAGAAUCAUCAUCAUCAUCAUCCUUAUUGCUAUGAAAUUGAGGUAGUUUGCUCAAUUCAAUACACAAAGUUCAUGUGACGACAAACAACUUAUCUACUCCAGUAGCUCAAGAAGCUAACUGUUUUAAGGAUUUAUUUAAACUGUCAUCAUAUAACUGAAUAAACAGCUUUUCCAUUUAUUC